rnacentral:rRNA from 1 species
AUUGAACGCUGGCGGCAGGCCUAACACAUGCAAGUCGAGCGAGCGGCGGACGGGUGAGUAAUGUAUGGGGACUGCCCGAUAGAGGGGGAUCACUACUGGGAACGGUGACUAAUACCGCAUACUAUAGGAUGGCCCAUAUGGGAUUAGCUAGUGGGUGGGGUAAAGGCGCACCUAGGCGACGAUCUCGACCUGGUCUGAGAGGAUGAUCAGCCACACUGGGACUGAGACACGGCCCAGACUCCUACGGAGGCAGCAGUGGGGAAUAUUGGACAAUGGGCGCAAGCCUGAUGCAGCCAUGCCGCGUGUAUGAAGAAGGCCUUAGGGUUGUAAAGUACUUUCAGCGGGGAGGCGUUACCAGCAGAAGAAGCACCGGCUAACUCCGUGCCAGCAGCCGCGGUAAUUC